GACGAACGCUGGCGGCGUGCUUAACACAUGCAAGUCGAACGGAAAGGCCCCUUUGGGGGUACUCGAGUGGCGAACGGGUGAGUAACACGUGGGUAACCUGCCCUUGACUUCGGGAUAACUUCAGGAAACUGGGGCUAAUACCGGAUAGGAAUCCUUGCUGCAUGGUGGGGGUUGGAAAGCUUCGGCGGUUUUGGAUGGACUCACGGCUUAUCAGCUUGUUGGUGGGGUAGUGGCUUACCAAGGCUUUGACGGGUAGCCGGCCUGAGAGGGCGACCGGCCACAUUGGGACUGAGAUACGGCCCAGACUCCUACGGGAGGCAGCAGUGGGGAAUAUUGCACAAUGGGCGGAAGCCUGAUGCAGCAACGCCGCGUGCGGGAUGACGGCCUUCGGGUUGUAAACCGCUUUCAGCAGGGGCGAAGCUUGUGGUGACGGUACCUGCAGAAGAAGCACCGGCUAACUACGUG
rnacentral:rRNA from 1 species